rnacentral:lncRNA from 1 species
CCUACCCAUUUACAUGCAAAAAUCUAUACAUAGUCAAUGUAUUUAACUCAUAAUAGGUGCGAUUAGCUUAAUUUAUCAUUAAUGAAUGAAUUCCUCUCUUUAAUCCUCCAAGAAUCGCCCCCAAGCCAAGAAAAUAUGAUAGAAAUGGCCAAUUCACAACUUUUAAAACAACCCUUCUGCCUACAGUUAUUUCUGCACCUGCGGCCUCUAGACCGCUUCUGUGGUUCCGCAGGUGCGUCUCCACUUUCGCUUAUGUGGAUAACUCAUUA